rnacentral:rRNA from 1 species
GACGAACGCUGGCGGCGUGCUUAACACAUGCAAGUCGAACGAAGUGGCGAACGGGUGAGUAACGCGUAAUCAACCUGCCCUUCAGAGGGGGACAACAGUUGGAAACGACUGCUAAUACCGCAUACUGAAGGAGGGGAUUGCGUCUGAUUAGCUGGUUGGAGGGGUAACGGCCCACCAAGGCGAUGAUCAGUUGCCGGUGUGGGAGGAUGAACGUGCAAAUUGGGACUGGGACAUGGCCCAGACUCCUACGGGAGGCAGCAGUGGGGAAUCUUCCGAAAUGGAGGAAAGUCUGACGGAGCAACGCCGCGUUAGGGAUGACGGCCUUCGGGUUGUAAAGGUCUGUUAAUCGGGACGCGGUACCGGAAUAGAAAGCCACGGCUAACUACGUGCCAGCAGCCGCGGUAAUAC